rnacentral:tRNA from 2 species
GCCCAAGUAGCUCAGUUGGUAGAGCGUACCCUUGGUAAGGGUAAGGUCGUCGGUUCAAUCCCGAUCUUGGGCUCCC